UUNAUCAUGGCUCAGGACGAACGCUGGCGGCGUGCUUAACACAUGCAAGUCGAGCGGUAAGUGCCCUUUCGGGGGUACACGAGCGGCGAACGGGUGAGUAACACGUGGGUAACCUGCCCUCAGCUCUGGGAUAAGCCCGGGAAACUGGGUCUAAUACCGGAUAUGACUCCGCAUCGCAUGGUGUGGGGUGGAAAGCCUUGUGCGGCUGAGGAUGGGCCCGCGGCCUAUCAGCUUGUUGGUGGGGUAGUGGCCUACCAAGGCGACGACGGGUAGCCGGCCUGAGAGGGCGACCGGCCACACUGGGACUGAGACACGGCCCAGACUCCUACGGGAGGCAGCAGUGGGGAAUAUUGCGCAAUGGGCGAAAGCCUGACGCAGCGACGCCGCGUGAGGGAUGACGGCCUUCGGGUUGUAAACCUCUUUCAGCUCCGACGAAGCCUUCGGGUGACGGUAGGGGCAGAAGAAGCACCGGCCAACUACGUGCCAGCAGCCGCGGUAAUACGUAGGGUGCAAGCGUUGUCCGGAAUUAUUGGGCGUAAAGAGCUCGUAGGCGGUUUUGUCGCGUCGACUGUGAAAACUCAGGGGCUCAACUCCGAGCUUGCAGUUGAUACGGGCAGACUAGAGUUCGGCAGGGGAGACUGGAAUUCCUGGUGUAGCGGUGAAAUGCGCAGAUAUCAGGAGGAACACCGGUGGCGAAGGCGGGUCUCUGGG
rnacentral:rRNA from 1 species